GACAGAGGGGGCAAGCGUUGCUCGGAAUCACUGGGCGUAAAGGGCGCGUAGGCGGGAUGGCAAGUCGGUCGUGAAAUCUCUCGGCUCAACCGAGAAACGUCGGCCGAUACUGCCGUUCUUGGAGGGAUGCAGGGGAGACUGGAAUUCCCGGUGUAGCGGUGAAAUGUGUAGAGAUCGGGAGGAACACCGGUGGGCGAAGGCGGGUCUCUGGGCGAUUUCCUGACGCUGGAGGAGCGAAAGUGUGGGGAGCGAACAGG
rnacentral:rRNA from 1 species